ACGUCAAGGCGCCGGAGCCAGC
rnacentral:misc_RNA from 1 species